rnacentral:rRNA from 1 species
AGAGUUUGAUCCUGGCUCAGAAUGAACGCUGGCGGCGUGCUUAACACAUGCAAGUCGAACGAGAAAGGGAUUGCUUGCAAUCCUGAGUAGAGUGGCGCACGGGUGAGUAACACGUAGAUAAUCUACCUUCGAUUUUGGGAUAACCAUCCGAAAGGAUGGCUAAUACCGGAUAAGGUUUUAAUACGCAAGUAUAGGAAUGAAAGUAUGCCUCUUCUUGAAAGCAUAUGAUUGGAGAUGAGUCUGCGGACCAUUAGCUUGUUGGUAGGGUAAAGGCCUACCAAGGCUACGAUGGUUAGCUGGUCUGAGAGGAUGAUCAGUCACACUGGAACUGGAACACGGUCCAGACUCCUACGGGAGGCAGCAGUGAGGAAUUUUGCGCAAUGGGGUAACCCCUGACGCAGCAACGCCGCGUGAGUGAAGAAGGCCUUUGGGUCGUAAAGCUCUGUCAACUGGGAAGAAGUUACAACAAUCUAAUAGGUAGUUGUAUUGACGGUACCAGUGGAGGAAGCGCCGGCUAACUCCGUGCCAGCAGCCGCGGUAAUACGGGGGGCGCAAGCGUUAUUCGGAAUUAUUGGGCGUAAAGGGCGUGUAGGCGGUCUUAUCGGUCAGAUGUGAAAGCCCAGGGCUCAACCCUGGACGUGCAUUUGAAACAGUAAGACUUGAGUACUGGAGAGGAAAGCGGAAUUCCUGGUGUAGAGGUGAAAUUCGUAGAUAUCAGGAGGAACACCGAUGGCGAAGGCAGCUUUCUGGACAGAAACUGACGCUGAUGCGCGAAGGCGUGGGUAGCGAACAGGAUUAGAUACCCUGGUAGUCCACGCAGUAAACGAUGUACACUAAGUGUAGGUGAUAUUAAAAUUGUCUGUGCCGCAGCUAACGCAUUAAGUGUACCGCCUGGGGAGUACGGCGCAAGAUAAAACUCAGAAAGGAAUAGACGGGGGCCGCCCACAAGCGGU